rnacentral:piRNA from 1 species
UAGGAAUUGAACUCUGGUACCAGCGCUAU